rnacentral:rRNA from 1 species
GACGAACGCUGGCGGCGUGCUUAACACAUGCAAGUCGAACGGAAAGGCCCUGCUUUUGUGGGGUGCUCGAGUGGCGAACGGGUGAGUAACACGAGAGUAACCUGCCCUUGACUUUGGGAUAACUUCAGGAAACUGGGGCUACUACCGGAUAGGAGCUACUGCUGCAUGGUGGGGGUUGGAAAGUUUCGGCGGUUGGGGAUGUACUCGCGGCUUAUCAGCUUGUUGGUGGGGUAGUGGCUUACCAAGGCUUUGACGGGUAGCCGGCCUGAGAGGGUGACCGGCCACAUUGGGACUGAGAUACGGCCCAGACUCCUACGGGAGGCAGCAGUGGGGAAUAGUGCACAAUGGGCGGAAGCCUGAUGCAGCAACGCCGCGUGCGGGAUGACGGCCUUCGGGUUGUAAACCGCUUUCGCCUGUGACGAAGCGUGAGUGACGGUAAUGGGUAAAGAAGCACCGGCUAACUACGUG